CGGGGCAUGCCAUGGGCGGAGCCUGAUGCAGCACGCCGCGUGCGGGAUGACGGCCUUCGGGUUGUAAACCGCUUUCGCCUGUGACGAAGCGUGAGUGACGGUAAUGGGUAAAGAAGCACCGGCUAACUACGUGCCAGCAGCCGCGGUGAUACGUAGGGUGCGAGCGUUGUCCGGAUUUAUUGGGCGUAAAGGGCUCGUAGGUGGUUGAUCGCGUCGGAAGUGUAAUCUUGGGGCUUAACCCUGAGCGUGCUUUCGAUACGGGUUGACUUGAGGAAGGUAGGGGAGAAUGGAAUUCCUGGUGGAGCGGUGGAAUGCGCAAAUAUCAGGAGGAACACCAGUGGCGAAGGCGGUUCUCUGGGCCUUUCCUGACGCUAAGGAGCGAAAGCGUGGGGAGCGAACAGGCUUAAAUACCCUGGUAGUCCACGCUGUAAACGGUGGGUACUAGGUGUGGGGUCCAUUCCACGGGUUCCGUGCCGUAGCUAACGCUUUAAGUACCCCGCCUGGGGAGUACGGCCGCAAGGCUAAAACUCAAGAAAUUGACGGA
rnacentral:rRNA from 1 species